rnacentral:tRNA from 4 species
UAAGACGGACCCUAAAAAGUCCUUU